CUUCCAUUUAGAUGCACACGAAGCUUUCAUUUUCCAAGAUAGAAAUCAACCCAACGGCCCCUCCCUCUCUCUGUUGACCGCCAUUUGUGAGAUUACUCUGAAACUUCCUCCUGCGUUGUCUUAGCGAGUUUUUUUCAGGUCUAGCUUGAUUUGUGAAGGAUAUUGGAUAUGUUUCAUGCGAUUUUUGUGCAACAAUUUGGAUUAAGAAAGAAGCAGCUCCUGGAGGCGAUGCGCACUGGACUGAAGAUGGAAGAAGCAAACUUGCAACGGAAAUCAUAGUCACAUCAUUCAGAUUCCAUUGAUUUCUCCUUAUUUGUGGUAAAAAUUGAUCUUCUACGGAGUACGGAGUGAGAUGUUGGCGGCAACAUUUAUGUUGAAGUGGUGGUUUUCUAUCUGCGACGGCAGACUGUUUUGCGUCGGCAGACUCUGUAUUUGUUGAAUGAGAGAUGAUGCUGUAUGCGACAUCAGCUCAUGUGUUAACACCCUAAUUUUGA